GAUGAACGCUGGCGGCGUGCUUAAUACAUGCAAGUCGAGCGAACAGAUGAUGAUCUUGCUCCUCGCACGUGAGCCGCGGAGGUGUGAAUAACACGUGUAUAACCUACCUAUAAUAGUGGUAUAACUUCGGGAAACCGGAGCUAAUACCGUAGAAUAUCUUGAACCACAUUGUUGGAUAGUGAAAGACGGUUUUGCUGGCACGUAUAGAGGGAUCCGCGCCUCAUUAGCUAGUUGGUAAGUUAACGGGUUACCAAGGCAACCAGGCGUAGACGACCUGAGGGGGGGAUAGGCGACCCGGGAACUGAGCCAGCGUCAAGAGUCCUACGGGAGGGAGCAGUAGGCUAUGUUCCGCAACAGGCGAAAGUCUGGCGGAGUAACGCCGCGUGAGUGAUGACGGUCUUCGGAGCGUAAAAAUCUGUUACUAGGGAAGAACAAAUGUGUCAGUAGAUAUGCACGUCUUGACGGUAACUAAUCAGAAAGCAACGGCUAACUACGUG
rnacentral:rRNA from 1 species